GGAAAGCGCCUGCCCAGAAGGGGAGCUGCCCUGUCUCUUAAAGCACUGGAGGUUUUGUAAUAAAGUGGGGGAAAUGAUUUAAGCAGAAACUCUUGCGAAGACGGGAGCCCUUGAAAGUACAGGUGCAUCACCCCAUCCCAGCUGAUGAGGUCCUGGGUCAACCAGAGAGCGAAUGAACAAUCUGUGGGGUGUUAUGGAAAGUAUGUGUAACCCUAGCGUAAGCAGCCAAAGGCAAAGAGAAGAUAAAGAUGCCUUCUCUGCCAGUUCCACAGGGAAGGAGAAGGGUCAAGCAAGAUAAGGAGUAUGAAAGCGCUUCCCAGAGCUCUACACACAUCGUGAGGGAUCAGUUCCGUACCACCUGACAGUUCACAUGAAGGAAAUACUGUCCUCCCCAGGGAACAAAGGGGCUUUCUGCAGAACAUGAACAGACUUGAGAGUGAAGGCCCCAGCCCAGGCAGGAAGGCUCAGGGCAAGCCAGAAGGCAGCAGUAGCAGCCACAAACUCCUUACUGUGCAUAUUCAACAAGAAGUAAACAACUUGGAAACCAGCAGCGACAGCCACCAUGCCAGCAGCAAUUCUGGCCAAACCUGUCUGGGAAUGGAGCCUGGGGGGUUCCAGCCUCAACACACCUCCACCCAGCACAAGGCCCUGACUGCCAGCAGUGUUCCACAGCUUCAGUUCAUGCAGUCUGUCUAUACUACAUUUCAAGCCUGAGCUAUCUUUUAGAUAAAUGAACUGACAUGAAGAUGUUAGAUGACUUACCCAAGAUCAUAGAGUGAGGGAGCAGAGUCACAGCCAGGAUCCAUGACUUUCUCACUUCAAACCUAUGCCAAACACAAACGAGCAUGUACAAUUGAAAUGCUCAUCAACUUUCAAAGCUACCUGGAAAGUCUUCUCUCUUCAUUCCUCGGAACCUACUUACUACCUGCGACUAUGCUGACCAUCAUCGUACCCUGUGUUUCAUUAAUGUGCUCUGUCUUUUACUAAAAUUGCCUGUUUUCCA